GAUGAACGCUAGCGGCAGGCUUAACACAUGCAAGUCGAGGGGCAGCAUAAAACAGUGCUUGCACUGUUUGGUGGCGACCGGCGCACGGGUGCGUAACGCGUAUGCAACCUACCUGUAACAGGGGGAUAACACUGAGAAAUUGGUACUAAUACCCCGUAACAUCACGGAAGGCAUCUUCUGUGGUUGAAAGUUCCGGCGGUUACAGAUGGGCAUGCGUUGUAUUGGCUAGUAGGUGAGGUAACGGCUCACCUAGGCGACGAUACAUAGGGGGACUGAGAGGUUAACCCCCCACAUUGGUACUGAGACACGGACCAAACUCCUACGGGAGGCAGCAGUGAGGAAUAUUGGUCAAUGGGCGCAAGCCUGAACCAGCCAUGCCGCGUGCAGGAAGACGGCUCUAUGAGUUGUAAACUGCUUUUGUAUAAGGGUAAAAUUGGGUACGUGUACCCAACUGAAAGUACUAUACGAAUAAGGGUCGGCUAACUCCGUGCCAGCAGCCGCGGUAACAC
rnacentral:rRNA from 1 species